AGCCACACUAUGAGUACAUAGCGAAUUAUUCUUUUGCCUUUUACUAAAGAAUAUUGUGUGCGCAUGGAAAUUAGUAUGCAAAUUCAAUUUAUUUCCACAUGUGUCUUAUAGUUAUG